rnacentral:lncRNA from 1 species
UUUUUUUUGGUGGGCUUCUUUGGCCUCUUUUAUUUUCUCACAUGGGACAAUGCUCCAUUAAUGAUGAUCAUCACACUUUCAACUCAAAACUUAGAGCAACUAUGACUAUAUGGAAUGCCUUCGGUAGUGUACCGUGGCAAUGAUCUAGCAUGGCAUAGACAUCAAUGGAAACAUUAUGCUAGCUAUCUUACGAUCAUGCAAUGGCAAUGUAGACGUGGUGGCACAUGUCAUGGUGGUAGUUGCAUGGCAAUAUAUCUCGGAAUGACUUUGAAAAAGCCAUAGUAGGUAGGUAUGGUGGAUGUUUUGAGGGAGGCUAAUGGUGGGUUUUGUGCACCGGCGAAAGUUGCACGACACUAAGAAGAUAGUGAUGGUGGAGGUGAAAGUGCAUCUAAACCAUGGACUCAACAUUAGUCAUGAAGAACUCAUAUACUUGUUGCAAAAGUUUUAUUAGUAAUCGAAACAAAGCAUUCAACGCAUACUCCUAGGGGAAGGGUUGGUAGGUAUAAACCAUCGCACGAUCCCGACCGCCACGCAAAGGAUGACACUAAAUAUACUAAUCAUGCUCAGAUUUCAUCACAUAGCGGUUCACCAUACAUGCCUGCUAUGGGAAUCACUAACUUCAACACAAGUAUUUCUAGAUCCACAACACCUUACUAGCAUGACUUCAAAAUUACCAUAAGCACAACCCAAAACUAAUUGAGAUGAAUCAAACUUCUCUAACUAUUCAAUGCACAUGAAGGUGGAAGUUUUCGUAUCCCUUUGGAUAACUACCCUUUUUGAGACUACUUUCAAAGCAUAAAUCAACUACCAAUCCACGCACCACUGUGCUCUAAAAGAUAUAAGCAAAACACACAGAGUAAAAGUAUCUAGCUCAANNNNNNNNNNNNNNNNNNNNNNNNNNNNNNNNNNNNNNNNNNNNNNNNNNNNNNNNNNNNNNNNNNNNNNNNNNNNNNNNNNNNNNNNNNNNNNNNNNNNUACGAGCAAAACAAGAAAUGACUACAAUCUGCCAUAAACAGCCACAUAGCAUUUUCUACGCCACACAACUACGGCUACACAACUCCGAUAUGCUCAAGCAAGGCAUGGCACGGAAGAGGGCCAGAAGCACUACUACAAACAUCUAACAACAACUAGCAUGGCCUCACGUAUCACUAGGGAAAGAAGUCACAAAAUGGCAUCCCACACACUAUUUCAGACUAAGUGAAAAUUGCACCUCAUGAAAGUGCAGUUUUCGAUCUGAAGCCAUAUUGACAGCAGCAAAACCUAUAGCUACAGGGCUCCAAAUGGCAUGAAAAUUGUCAGCAUGCUAGAGAAACAUAAGGGUUACAACUAACUCCAUUGGACCAACCUCAAAAGAGUUACAGCUCACAAGAUAGAAGCAAGACAAGGCAGCAACAAAAUAUAACAGAUUCCAGACUUAGAAAUAUUUCAGCACGUCCAAAACAGCACUAUUUCUGGCAAUUUGAGGGCAAUCAAACCACACCUAAACAUGCAUUUCUAUUGCAACCAAAAAUACCAGGGGCUAGUGUAAACACCCAAGAACAACUCUCUAGUUGACAACUCCGACAAACGAGGCACGGAAUAAACCCUACGAAGUAAACAAAAGGGCAACAUAGCAAAAUAUCGCGCGAAAUANNNNNNNNNNNNNNNNNNNNNNNNNNNNNNNNNNNNNNNNNNNNNNNNNNNNNNNNNNNNNNNNNNNNNNNNNNNNNNNNNNNNNNNNNNNNNNNNNNNNCGCGCCCGCGGCAUCGUCAAAACCCUGUUUUAAAAAUGUGCGUAAACCUNNNNNNNNNNAUGCAUUGCAUCGGCAUCUCCGUUGCCGCCAGUUUUCAAAACUUGUAUCCGUUGUUAGUUGCCGAUUCACGUCGUUGUCCGUUCUGAGCCCGACCGCACUCGCAGCGCCCGCGGCAUCGUCAAAACCCUGUUUUAAAAAUGUGCGUAAACCUUUCUCUGAUCGGGGUGAGAUUUGACGUGCGGUGGUAUUUUUAUAUAGGUAGGCCGCCUGUCAAGUUUCGUCGCAAUCGGAGUCCGUCUGGUACCCGAACGGUCGACCGUAGCGGCACCGUAUCCGGUCUAUCGUCGGACGUUUUUCGGUAUUGUAAAUCGCGUUGCCGCGCCGCACCGUUUCCCUCUCACCUCCGCCUAGCCACUCUGCACAGCCACCUUGACCCUCCCGCGUCCGUGACCAUUCGAUUGUGAUCGUGUGGUCGAAAUCGGGGCGGAAAACCCAAACCCUAGCUAGCCCGGCUAUAAAAGGAAGGUAGCCCUUACUAAUUAGACAGCAAUCCCCUCUCUCCCUCGUUUUUCGUGCCUCCCCAACCCUAGCCGACAUGCGCAGCCACCCCAGCCGUUGCGGCCCGCCCAGGCCCGCGCGAGGCCCGCGAAGCCCGGAUCCCCGCCGCCGUGAGCCGCAUGCGCGCGGCUCCCCAGCGCCUNNNNNNNNNNNNNNNNNNNNNNNNNNNNNNNNNNNNNNNNNNNNNNNNNNNNNNNNNNNNNNNNNNNNNNNNNNNNNNNNNNNNNNNNNNNNNNNNNNNNAAUAACCGAAACUCCAAGAGAGACAAGGAUGUAUCCCGAUGUUCACUUCCUUGGAGGGAAGCUACGUCACCGUUAGAGGGGCGGAUGUUACCACGAAGGCACACCAACGCCACAAAGGCUCACCCUAUUCUCCCUUUGAGAUAACUCCACGAAGGCGUUUCUCAACCACUAGUGGUAAGCCUUGAGGUGGCUUCCAAACCUUCACAAACUUUUUGGGGGAAAUCACAAUGGUUUGAUUCCUCUCCGAAGACUCCUACCGCCUAGGAGUCUCCAACCUCCAAGAGUAACAAGAUCACGGGGAUUGCUCAAAACUUGCUCAAAUCACAAAUCACUUUGGUGGGAAGGAAGAGAGGGAGACGAUCUAUCUUUUGAUUGGAACAACACUCAAAGGGACUCACAAAUGCUCUUGGGAUCUAGGAUUUGGUGUAGACAAGAGUGAGUGAGAAGAAAGGUGUUCUUGGAUUUAUUCUAGCUGUGUUGAACACCCUUUCACGAGGUGGGAGAAGAGUAUAUAUAGUGGGGAGUGAAAACCAGCCGUUGGGGACACUUUAAGUCACACAGGGUCCGGACGUCCAACAGUUGCCGGAAGUCCGGGCGUCCACGAGGGGUCGGACGUCCGACAGUUGCCGGAAGUCCGGGCGUCCGCGAGGGGUCGGANNNNNNNNNNNNNNNNNNNNNNNNNNNNGUUGCCGAAAGUCCGGGCGUCCACGAGGGGUCGGACGUCCGACAGGGGUCGGUCGUCCGAGGCCUGUAGAUAUGACUGAUGACUGAAAAUACUGUGAAUUGAACAACAACCGAACGUCCGGAGAGGACCGGAAAUGCGAGUUAUUCGACUCAACUUCUUCUGAUGGGAGGUUCCGGAUUUCCGAAGGGGAACGGACGUCCGGCCCUCGGACGUCCGUCCCUCGGACGUCCGGAGAGAGCCAGAAAUCCGAGUUAUAGAGCUCAUGUUCUUCUGGUGCAGGGCUCCGGAUUUCCGGGGCUGGUCGGACGUCCGGCCCUCGGAUGUCCGGAGGGAGCCGGAAAUCCGAGUUAUAUGACUCACAAACUUCUGGUGGAGGGCUCCAGAUUUCUGAAGCCUGCCGGUCGUCCGGCCCUCGGACGUCCGGAGGUAGCCGGACGUCCGAGGCAAUAGACCUGUUUUGAGAUAAGAACAGAGNNNNNNNNNNNNNNNNNNNNNNNNNNNNNNNNNNNNNNNNNNNNNNNNNNNNNNNNNNNNNNNNNNNNNNNNNNNNNNNNNNNNNNNNNNNNNNNNNNNNCAUGCGCGCGGCUCCCCAGCGCCUCCGUCUGCCCCCGUCGCCCCGCCGCCGCGGCUCCCGAGGCUGCCCUACGCCGCCUCCCGUCGCGUGUGCAGGUGCCGGCCAGCUGCACCCCUCGCCUUGCCUCGCGCCAGCAGCUCCCCUCGUCGGAGUGCAGUCUCCGUCGCCCCCAGUCCGCCUCCCGUGUCCGACUCGUCGCCGGCCUUAGAGCCCCGCCUCCGCGUCGCCUUCUGCCGGAUAUGCGUCCCUGCCGCCGGAUCCUGCUGCGACGUCCAGCCUGGGCCUCAAUCCGGUCGGGGCCGAGCUCCCCCUGCCGCCGGAGACCGCCCUGUCGAGGCUUCGCCCCAUCGCCGCCAUAGGCUCCCGAUCCAGGCGUGGUCGUGGGAGUUCGCCGCCUCCCGUGGGUUGGCCAGCGCCAGGCCGGGCUGCCACCCCGUGGGUCGCACCAGGCUGCCUCGGCCCGCUCCCGUGGCCACUUCUUCGGCCAGGUCCAGGCCAAGUGCUCCAGCCUCCCAGUGCCCCAACCUGCCUCUUCCUCCCCAGCAACAUGGGCCAGGCCCACCAAGGUGAGCAGCCCCCGCUCCGAUAAUCCCCGCCCGUGGCGAUUUAAUCUAUGCUGCGCCAUGCCCCUGUGUAGCCCAUUAGGAUUAGAUUCGGCCCAGUAGUUAUUUUAGGAUUAAUUUCGGAAUUAUUUAAAUUCCAAAAAAUAUAUAGUUGUUAAUACGUCCGUAACUUUUUACCCGUGUGUCGGAUCGGAGCGUGAAGUAUAUGUUUUUCUUGUAGUUUUUUCGCGUAGUAUCCGUUUUUGCAACUUGCAUAAAUGUUUGAUGUGGUUUGACCCAUUGUUUGCCUAGAAAUGCGUGUUGUCCUAAUAGGUUUUGUCCCGUAUUUAAUUUUCAAUCAUGCCUGGAUUGCUCGUAUGCCUUAGAUAAAAUGCCCAUGUUUUAGGAACCUAUUUUCCAUGUAUUUUAGAGUAGCCGUUGGUAUUUUUGCAUGUAGGUACUUGCCACUAGAUUAUUUUCCGUGUCUAGGCCAUUAUCUCGCAUUGUCGUGUGGUAAUAUUUUUGAGUUGCAACCCCACAUAUUUUAUAUGUUUUCGGGGUAGAAAAAUCCAUGGGAUUUUCCUGUGCAAUUAGUUUUAACAUUAGAGCAAGUUAUUUCGCGCGAUAUUUUGCUAUGUUGCCCUUUUGUUUACUUCGUAGGAUUUAUUCCGUGACUCGUUUGUCGGAGUUGUCAACUAGAGAGUUGUUCUUGGGUGUUUAGACUAGUACUUGGUAUUUUUGGUUGCAAUAGAAAUGCAUGUUUAGGUGUGGUUUUAUUGCCCUCAAGUUGCUAGAAAUAGUGCUGUUGGACGUGCUGAAAUAUUUCUAAGUCUGGAAUAUGUUAUAUUUUGUUGCUGCCUUGUCUUGCUUCUAUCUUGUGAUCUGUAACUCUUUUGAGGUUGGUCCAAUGGAGUUAGUUGUAACCCUUAUGUUUCUCUAGCAUGCUGACAAUUUUCAUGCCAUUUGGAGCCCUGUAGCUAUAGGUUUUGCUGCUGUCAAUAUGGCUUCAGAUCGAAAACUGCACUUUCAUGAGGUGCAAUUUUCACUUAGUCUGAAAUAGUGUGUGGGAUGCCAUUUUGUGACUUCUUUCCCUAGUGAUCCGUGAGGCCAUGCUAGUUGUUGUUAGUUGUUUGUAGUAGUGCUUCUUGCCCUCUUCCAUGCCAUGCCUUGCUUGAGCAUAUCGGAGUUGUGUAGCCGUUGUUGUGGGGCGUAGAAAAUGUUAUGUGGCUGUUUAUGGCAGAUUGUAGUCAUUUCUUGUUUUGCUCGUAGUUGUUGAACCGUAGCUCCGAUUUGAUCGUGUCCGAUAUGAAACUUGCUUAUAAUCUUGUGUAGUUUCAUUUUCUCUUGCUGGUUGUAUGUUUUGAGGUGCUCGUGACCGCCGUUGCACACAUACUGCAUUCAUGCCAUCAUAUCUUGCGGUGCUUGUAACUUUUGAUCCGUAGCUCCGUUGGAGAUGUUCUUUAUGUGUAGAUUGCUUGGAAUGACGCGUAGAAUCACGUGAACCUAUUUAUUUUGCUGUUUAAAACUAAUUAAAUGUGUUAGUUCAGAUCUGGACAGAAUUGCAAAUUAACAUGUGAGGUCGUCUCGGAGAUGCUAUAUGUCAUUUCUGACCUCAUUUAAAAUGUCUAGAUAGGUAGUUUAAUUUCCGCUUCACCUCUUGCAUGUUUGAAAACAUUAAUAUUGCCGUGUAAAUAACCGAGAGUGAACUAAAUAAUUCAUACGUGGAGUUUUGUCAAUAUGCAACUCGUUGCAUAUUGAACUUCACUUAAUGUGUAGUGUUUGUUUGUGUGAUUUGCCANNNNNNNNNNAAUAACCGGAGUGAACUAAAUAAUUAAUAUGUGGAGUUUCGUCAAUAUGCAACUCGUUUCAUAUUGAACUUCACUUAAUGUGUAGUGUUUGUUUGUGUGAUUUGCCAUGCCGUGACUUGCAUGUAUUCAGGUGCUCAUGCAUCAUUUGUGUUGUUGCAUCGUGUAGUGAAUUUCGUGUGUUGAUUUGUGUUUCCGGUUUGCUUCGUCUCGAUAGAGUUCCGCAGCGUGCCGGAUUGUGAGGACCCGUUCGACUACGUCGGUUCGUCUGCUUCACGGAGGCAUUCUUCUUCCAAGCGGGAUCUCAGGCAAGAUGACCAUUUCCCCAGAUACCAUUACUAUCAUUGCCAUGCUAGUUUUAUUGCUUCUAUCGAUUAUGUCUCAUUGCCUACCACCUGUUAAAUAUCAGCUUCUCAACAAUGCCAUGUUAACCUCCAACCUGUUCGACCUAGCAAACCACUGAUUGGCUAUGUUACCGCUUGCUUAACCCUGUGUUAGCGUUGCUAGUUGUAGGUGCAUUGCUUCCAUGUGGAAGCAUGGGUUCCUUGUUAUAUCACCAUAUUAAAUGCUAUUUAAUUUAAUGCACCUAUAUACUUGGUAAAAGGUGGAAGGCUCGGCCUUUUCUAGCCUGGUGUUUUGUUCCACCUUUGCCCCCUUAUUUUCCGACUACCGGUGUUAUGUUCCAUAAAUGAGCGCUCCUAACACGAUCGGGGUUGUUAUGGGGACCCCCUUGAUAAUUCAUUUUAGAUUAAGACUAGUCUGGCAAGGCCCAACUUUGGUACUUCAUUUGCCUAAUAACCUAAUAAUAAUGCAUAGGGACCCGCCGGCACCCGCGGACUAUUUUAAUCAACCCCCGGGCCAGUGCUCCUCAUGAGUGUUGGUCCCACACGAGCGAUGUCCGGCGCCCCUCUGGUCACCCGGAGGUUUAGCGAUCCCGACGUCUAGCUCAUCCAUCUUGUCCUGAGAACGAGGUACGCGACUCCUAUCGGGAUCGUCGACACGUCGGGCGGCCUUGCUGGAAUAGUUUUACCUUUGACGAAAUAUCUUGUGCAUCGGGAUUCCGCUGAUGCUUUGGGUAAUCUCAGAGUUGAGGUUUUCCACUAGGGAAUCCGACGAGAUUGCGACCUUCGUGAUUGAGGAUUUCUAUGCGGCUUGUGGUAAUUUGUGAUGGACUAGUUGUAGCACCCCUGCAGGGUUAAAUCUUUUCGGAAAGCCGUGCCCGCAGUUAUGUGGCAACGUGGAAACUUUGUUUAACACUAGUUCUAAAUAACUUGAAGUUAACUUGAUUAAAAUAUGCCAACUGUGUGCGUAACCNNNNNNNNNNCGCGAGCUUCGUGAUUGAGGAUUUCUAUGCGGCUUGUCGUAAUUUGUGAUGGACUAGUUGGAGCACCCCUGCAGGGUUAAAUCUUUUCGGAAAGCCGUGCCCACGGUUAUGUGGCAACGUGGAAACUUUGUUUAACACUGGUUCGAGAUAACUUGAAGUUAACUUGAUUAAAAUAUGCCAACUGUGUGCGUAACCGUGACUGUCUCUUUCGUGAGUUCCUUCUCCGUUCGAGGACACAGUGGGGUUAUGUCUGACGUAGGUAGGUGUUCAGGAUCAUUCAUUUGAUCAUCUGUGGUAACGUCCGUUAUGCGUAUAUCUUCCCCCUCUUAUUUCUUGUACUCGUAAGUUUAGCUACCAAACACAUGCUUAGUUGUUGCUGCAACCUCACCACUUAACCUUACCUCACCCAUUAAGCUUUGCUAGUCUUGAUACNNNNNNNNNNNNNNNNNNNNNNNNNNNNNNNNNNNNNNNNNNNNNNNNNNNNNNNNNNNNNNNNNNNNNNNNNNNNNNNNNNNNNNNNNNNNNNNNNNNNUCCCACACACUAUUUCAGACUAAGUGAAAAUUGCACCUCAUGAAAGUGCAGUUUUCGAUCUGAAGCCAUAUUGACAGCAGCAAAACCUAUUGCUACAGGGCUCCAAAUGGCAUGAAAAUUCACAGCAUGCUAGAGAAACAUAAGGGUUACAACUAACUCCAUUGGACCAACCUCAAAAGAGUUACAGCUCACAAGAUAGAAGCAAGACAAGGCAGCAACAAAAUAUAACAGAUUCCAGACUUAGAAAUAUUUCAGCACGUCCAAAACAGCACUAUUUCUGGCAAUUUGAGGGCAAUCAAACCACACCUAAACAUGCAUUUCUAUUGCAACCAAAAAUACCAGGGGCUAGUGUAAACACCCAAGAACAACUCUCUAGUUGACAACUCCGACAAACGAGGCACGGAAUAAACCCUACGAAGUAAACAAAAGGGCAACAUAGCAAAAUAUCGCGCGAAAUAACUUGCUCUAAUGUUAAAACUAAUUGCACAGGAAAAUACCAUGGAUUUUUCUACCCCGAAAACAUAUAAAAUAUGUGGGGUUGCAACUCAAAAAUAUUACCACACGACAAUGCGAGAUAAUGGCCUAGACACGGAAAAUAAUCUAGUGGCAAGUACCUACAUGCAAAAAUACCAACGGCUACUCUAAAAUACAUGGAAAAUAGGUUCCUAAAACAUGGGCAUUUUAUCUAAGGCAUACGAGCAAUCCAGGCAUGAUUGAAAAUUAAAUACGGGACAAAACCUAUUAGGACAACACGCAUUUCUAGGCAAACAAUGGGUCAAACCACAUCAAACAUUUAUGCAAGUUGCAAAAACGGAUACUACGCGAAAAAACUACAAGAAAAACAUAUACUUCACGCUCCGAUCCGACACACGGGUAAAAAGUUACGGACGUAUUAACAACUAUAUAUUUUUUGGAAUUUAAAUAAUUCCGAAAUUAAUCCUAAAAUAACUACUGGGCCGAAUCUAAUCCUAAUGGGCUACACAGGGGCAUGGCGCAGCAUAGAUUAAAUCGCCACGGGCGGGGAUUAUCGGAGCGGGGGCUGCUCACCUUGGUGGGCCUGGCCCAUGUUGCUGGGGAGGAAGAGGCAGGUUGGGGCACUGGGAGGCUGGAGCACUUGGCCUGGACCUGGCCGAAGAAGUGGCCACGGGAGCGGGCCGAGGCAGCCUGGUGCGACCCACGGGGUGGCAGCCCGGCCUGGCGCUGGCCAACCCACGGGAGGCGGCGAACUCCCACGACCACGCCUGGAUCGGGAGCCUAUGGCGGCGAUGGGGCGAAGCCUCGACAGGGCGGUCUCCGGCGGCAGGGGGAGCUCGGCCCCGACCGGAUUGAGGCCCAGGCUGGACGUCGCAGCAGGAUCCGGCGGCAGGGACGCAUAUCCGGCAGAAGGCGACGCGGAGGCGGGGCUCUAAGGCCGGCGACGAGUCGGACACGGGAGGCGGACUGGGGGCGACGGAGACUGCACUCCGACGAGGGGAGCUGCUGGCGCGAGGCAAGGCGAGGGGUGCAGCUGGCCGGCACCUGCACACGCGACGGGAGGCGGCGUAGGGCAGCCUCGGGAGCCGCGGCGGCGGGGCGACGGGGGCAGACGGAGGCGCUGGGGAGCCGCGCGCAUGCGGCUCACGGCGGCGGGGAUCCGGGCUUCGCGGGCCUCGCGCGGGCCUGGGCGGGCCGCAACGGCUGGGGUGGCUGCGCAUGUCGGCUAGGGUUGGGGAGGCACGAAAAACGAGGGAGAGAGGGGAUUGCUGUCUAAUUAGUAAGGGCUACCUUCCUUUUAUAGCCGGGCUAGCUAGGGUUUGGGUUUUNNNNNNNNNNNNNNNNNNNNNNNNNNNNNNNNNNNNNNNNNNNNNNNNNNNNNNNNNNNNNNNNNNNNNNNNNNNNNNNNNNNNNNNNNNNNNNNNNNNNNNNNNNNNNNNNNNNNNNNNNNNNNNNNNNNNNNNNNNNNNNNNNNNNNNNNNNNNNNNNNNNNNNNNNNNNNNNNNNNNNNNNNNNNNNNNNNNNNNNNNNNNNNNNNNNNNNNNNNNNNNNNNNNNNNNNNNNNNNNNNNNNNNNNNNNNNNNNNNNNNNNNNNNNNNNNNNNNNNNNNNNNNNNNNNNNNNNNNNNNNNNNNNNNNNNNNNNNNNNNNNNNNNNNNNNNNNNNNNNNNNNNNNNNNNNNNNNNNNNNNNNNNNNNNNNNNNNNNNNNNNNNNNNNNNNNNNNNNNNNNNNNNNNNNNNNNNNNNNNNNNNNNNNNNNNNNNNNNNNNNNNNNNNNNNNNNNNNNNNNNNNNNNNNNNNNNNNNNNNNGACGAUGCCGCGGGCGCGUGCGAGUGCGGUCGGGCUCAGAACGGACAACGACGUGAACCGGCAACUAACAACGGAUACAAGUUUUGAAAACUGGCGGCAACGAAGAUGCCGAUGCAAUGCAGAUGAUGCGAAUGAUGCGAUGAUGAUGCGACAAAAUAAAACAGACACACGACGAAAACGGAAAGGAAAGGGAAUCUUCUGGAACAUCGGCAACGGGCUGUCACGAAAAGUAACUACUGACAAAGCAUAAUCAUAUUCAUGACCAGAGAGGUAAUGAAUAGCAUCAAGGAUCUGAACAUAUAAUCUUCCACCAAGUAAUCCAACUAGCAUCAACUACGAAGAGUAAUUAACACUACUAGCAACCUUACAAGUGCCAAUCGGAGUCGCGAGAUGGAGAUUGGUUACAAGAGAUGAACUAGGGUUUGGAGAUGAGAUGGUGCUGAUGAAGAUGUUGAUGGUGAUGAGUCCCCUUCGAUGAGAGGAGUGUUGGUGAUGACGAUAGCGACGAUUUCCCCCUCCGGGAUCGUCCUGCCGGAGCUCUAGAUUGGUUCUGCUCAAGUUCCGCCUCGUGGCGGCGGCCAAUCCUCCGAAAAGCCUCCUCCUGAUUUUUCUGGAACGAAACCCUUCUUGUAGAAAAAGGGGGGAGCUAGAGGGCCAAGUGGGAGCCCACAAGCCCCCUAGGCACGGCCAGGGGGAGGCCGCGCCUAGCAGGCUUGUGGCCUCCUGCUGGCGCCCGUGUGAUACUUCUUCGGCCCAGUAUUUUUUAUAAAUCCCAAAAAACUCCUCGUUGAUUUUCACGGAUUUUGGAGUUGCUCAGAAUAGGUAUCUCAAACUUGCUCCUUUUUCAGGCCAGAAUUCCAGCUCCCGGCAUUCUCCCUCUUCUUGUAAACCUUGCAAAAUAAGAGAGAAAAGGCAUAAGUAUUGUAACGUGAAGUGUAAUAACAGCCCAUAAAGCGAUAAAUAUCAACAUCAAAGCAUGAUGCAAAAUGGACGUAUCACCCACCGUAUUGUUUUCCUUUAUGAGAUAAGCCUCUAGUGAAACCUAUGGCUCCCGGGUCUAUUUUCGCUAUUAUACUUUGAGAUCUAUAAACCAAAAAUACCCAAAAUAUAUUGCUGCUAUUUAUUUAUGUUUGUUUUACUGUUAGUUCUAGCAAUCUUUUAUAUCUAUCUCUAUCAUAUCUCAUCCUUGCAAAUAACUUUGAAGGAAUUGACAACCCCUUUUUAGCGUUGGGUGCAAGCGUUUGAUUGUUUGUGUAGGUACUAAGAUUGGGGCCUUGCUUGUUCCUCCUACUAGAUUUAUACAUUGGUUCUCAACACACUAAGGGAAAUACUUAUCUACUUUGCUGCAUCACCCUUUCCUCUUCAAGGGAAAACCAGCGCAAGCUCAAGAGGUAGCAUUGCAGUAUAGUAGAGAUAUAUAUUUCCCUCAGUGAGAACCAAGGUUAUAGAACCAAUAGGAGAAACAAUCAAACUCUCAUCGUAAGCACCUACACACAGAAAACCAAACACUUGCACCCAACGCAGGGAAGAGGGUUGUCAAGCCCCUUGAACUCAUUAUUUGCAAGGAUUAGUUUUGAUAGAUAGAUGAUAUAAAAAGUAAAAGUAAAUAAAAGUUUAACAAAUUGCAGCAAGGUAAAUAGGUUUUAACAAUAGGAUUGAGUAGACCCGAAGGGCGUAGUUUUCGCUAGAGACUUCUCUAUCGAACAUAACACGCGGUAGGUAAACAAAUUAAUGUUCAGUAAUUGACAAAAUAGCGCAUAGUUAUGACAUGUUAUUCACGACAAUGAUUAUGUGUGUGUAGGCAUCACGUACAUAAACAAGUAGACCAAAAUGAUCAUGCAUCUACUACUAUUACUCCACUUCGAGAGCGCUUCUAUGCUUGCCUCCCUAGGUAUUAAGUUCAUGACAAACAGAGUAAUGCUUGGAGCAAGAUGACAUGGUGUAGACAAAGUAAGACAAGCAAUAUGUUCAAACCCCGUUGUUUUAUUUUUAGUGGAAAUCAUAAAAAUAUGUUUCUUGUCUCCUUCUGUCACUAGAAUAUAGAGCACCACAAGAUUGAACCCACUACAAUGCAACACUCCCACUGAAGACAAAUCAAUAGUUGGCCAAACCAAACGGAUAGAUCGAAGAGAAAUACGAAGCUAUAACAAUCAUGCAUAAUAGAAUUCUGAGGAGACUCGGUUACUUUCAAUGAAUAAUCUCAUCAUAAAUCAACAACUCAUUGGAUCCCAAAACACACACCGCGGAAGAGAAUUACAUCGAAUAGAUCACCGCGGGAAUCGCAUCAAACAUUGUAUUGAAGAUCAUAGAGAGAGAGAGAAGAAGCUAUCUAGGUACUACAUAUGGACCCGUAGGUUUGCGGUGGACUACUCAUACAUCAUCAUGGAGGUGGCUAGGUUGAUGUAGACGACCUCUAUGAUCGAUUCCCCCUCGUAUGGGGCAUCGAAAAAGAUCUCCAGAUGGGAUCAUGGCGGAACAAAGACUUGCGGCGGCGGAAAAAGUAUUUCUUCUUCGUCUUUAGGGUUUUCAGAAUAUUUUAGGAUUUAUAGAAGUGGAAUUAGGUCAGGAGGACCAACGAGGGGCCCACAAUAUCAUAGGGUGCACCCUACCCUCGAGGGCGCGUCAUGUGAGCUUGUCGCUCCCUCGUGCGACGUCUUCCUGUAUGGCCUCCUCCCGAAGCUUCGUGGGCCCAAUAUCUUCCAGGAAAAAUCACCAAAAUGUUUCAUCAUGUUUGGACAUCGUUUGCUAUUGAUUUUCUGCAGAAGUCAAAAACACGCAAAAGCGAGGAACUCGCACUGCGCACUAGGUUAAUAGGUUAGCUCCAAAAAAUUAUAUAAAAUAGGAUAUUAUUGCAUAUAAACUAUCCAAGAUUGAUAACAUAAUAGCAUGGAACAAUUAAAAAUUAUCGAUACGUUAGAGACGUAUGAGUGGGACAAAAAUCCUAAGAGGAUCUCUCCCACAUAACUAUGCUUUAAUCUUGGUCUAAUUGGUCUAACGGUUUAGACUCCUAAGAGAGGCUAUAUUUCGAGUCUAAUAACAUUAGACUCCUAAUUACACAGGAACACUCAUAUGCUUUCUCUCUUUAGUUUUCUCUAAGUUAUUCUUUCUAGAUGUUGGAGUGUUGUCAGAUUACUACUUUGGAAUGCCUUUACCUUGGAGGGGUGUCUACUUAGACUCUUAAUCAACAGAUUAUGUCAAAGAAACUGAAGUGGCUGAGAGGUAUAACCUAGCUACAGGAAUCGUCAUGCUCCGUCGACAAACUACACUACUUCCGUUAGUUUGCUCGUUGGUGAGAUCAUUGUUACCGUAUAUCUUCAUAAUAUUCCUGGGUUUGAUAGUGUAGGAUAAAACAAUUGUUACAUAACAUACUCCCUUACAGUGGCAUCGAGCAUAUUUAUGAGUAGAUGCAAGUACAGUUAGAGCAUAUGGUGAUAUGCGGCAUUGCAAUUUUGGGCAUAGUGAUUAGGGAGUUCUAGUUAUUGGAUAUUGAUGAUGUAACCCUUCUAAUGUGGAUUUUUGAUUUCAAUGGUAUUUAGGAACUUUGUUACAAAGGUUUGGCUUCCUUAUGUAAUUUUGUUUUGCUCCUCGGUAUAUUGAUUGUUGACCAAAGUUAUGUUUUAGAUUCUUUGGAUUCAACCAUAGUUAAGAAAGACAAAAAUUGCGAUGAAGAGGACUUGUAGAUUUUGAUCUAUACGGGGGUCACGCCUAAUGACAAAGUUUAGUACGGGCCUCUACAUUUUUAAUUAAGUCUCUUAGAAGGAACCAAGGAAAAUGGAGAAGGAAGCAAGGAAAAUGCAGAAGGAAUAAGGAAAUUGGAGGCACGACCACCUAUCAGAGCCCGACAUGGUGUCCAGUACGAGUGCACGCAUUUGUACCAAUGCUCAUACCAAGUGUUGGAAGCUCCAUGAGGUCCAACCCUCCAAUGAUUAUUAUAAAGGGGGCAUCACUAGAAUAUCAACAAGAGAGCGUCAAGAACACCAUUCGUGAAACAAAAGUCGUCUUCCAACCCUAGUCGUCGCCAUUUCCCAUCUCAUUGCCAUAGUCGCCUCCAUCACCAUCACCGCAACAUCUCCCCUCCAAGUUAGCCAUACUUGUAAUCGGGUAUGUCUCCUCUGAUGACUUCCUCUCGUGGACCGAUCAUCAUGUGUGAGUAAUUCGGUAAAGCAAUGAGUUAAGGCAUAGCCUUGCAACCCUAUGUAUUUGAAUGGGGUCAAUGGAAGGACUGUGAAUAAUUAACAUUAUGUAUGUGUCUGGUUGCUACAGAGUUGUCUCUUAUCUCUUUCUCGUUCUACGAUCCUGAAGCUACACGUACCCAGGAUCUUGGAGUUUGGUCAAUGAGGAUAAAAGGGGCGAUGAGGAUGCGGAAUGCUAUUCUAGGACCAAUGACGGAAAGUUUAUGUACGGUGGCAAAAAAUGUGUCCUUGGGGAUUCAUGAGGUGUAGUCAUUAAACACCCAAUGCUUUUUCUGAAAUUUAUUCUUAAGAAUCGAGCUAACCUCACGAUACGGUAAGGGUCUGCAGUUGAACGGAUGUCUCUUGAUGCAAGUCGCGCACCGGUCAAGACGUAAUUUAGACACAUUCCCUGCUUCAUUGUAGUGUAAGCACAUAUUAAUGGGUGUCUUCAAGAGGAUAAAUUGAUAUCAUGAUGAAACCGAGCACAAAUAUAUGGCUGUAAGAAUCACGACCUCAUACGCAUGCAUGUUUUAAUUCUAUUUUUUACACACCUGAGGUUGUUAAGGUCCGGUUACAUAAAUGGAAUUUAAUUCUUUUACAAGGACUUGUUAGAUCCUCUAUCGUAGUGCACAUCCUCUUGUGGGUUUGACAAAUCAGGGUCACUCCUUGGGGAAAAGGCAGGGAAACCUUCGCUAUCCGAACCGCAUCUCGAAGGGCGUCAAGCUCCUGUGAGGAGCAAGAGACGGAGGAUUGCAAAAUACUUUGGUAAUUUUGUUGUACUCCUUGUGGACUAUAUUACCAAGUUUAUUGUACAGGCAUAUGCAUAUCUAGAUCUAGACGAUUGCAAACAAGUUAUCCAUAAGGAGAUGGAGUCAAUUCCUUCUAACGGGGCCUAGGAACUAACUGAACGACCAUAUGGUUGUAAACUUGUGGCAUGUAAGUGGGUGUUUGAAAACAAGCUAUGGUUUGAUGAUAUUGUUUGAUAAGUGAAAGGUGUGCCUUGUGUCUAAGGGUUGCACUUAUAAAGAAGGCAAAGAUUACUUUGACACUUAUUCACUUGUCACUAGAGUGACACCAUUUGAUUUCAACUUUCCCUGGUGGCCUCUUAUUGUAUUAUCAUCCAUCAAAUGGGUGUAAAGAUAGCUUUCCUAAAUUGAGAGUUGGAAGAGGAAAUAUAUGUGGAUCAUCCUAAUGGGCUUGUCGUAAAGGGUGAAGAGAGAAAGGUGUGCAAGGUGUUAAAAUAUUUGUAUGGAUUGAAACAAACACCUAAGCAAUGGCAUGAGAAGUUUGACAGAACUUUAACUUCUCCAAGAUCUUUCAUUAAUGAGGCGGAUAGUGUGUUUGCUAUUGCCAUGGCGGGGACGAAAAUGUCAUAUUAUGUUUAUAUGUGGAUGUCAUUCUGAUCUUUAGUGCAAACAUUGAUGUGAUCAUUGAGAUCAACUAUUUUUAAUCAAAAAUAUUUGAUAUGCAAGAUAUGGGAGAAGGUGGUGUGAUUCUAAACAUUAAACUAAUUAAUGAUGAGAGUGGGAUUAUUUUAAUGUGAUAUAUCUAUGUUGAGAAGGUCUUGAGUUGGUUUGGAUUUAUAGAUAUCAAUGUUUAUCCAACACCUUAUGAUCGAGUGUUACACUUCGAAAGAACAUGAAAGAAAUGACAAACCAAUUGAGAUACUCUCAAAUUAUCGGUUCACGCAUGUACUUAGCUAGUGCAAUAAAGCAAGAUAUGUAUUUUGUUGGAAAUAUGCCCUAGAGGCAAUAAUAAAUUAGUUAUUAUUAUAUUUCUUUGUUCAUGAUAAUCGUUUAUUAUCCAUGCUAUAAUUUUAUUGAUUGGAAACACAAUACUUGUGUGGAUACAUAGACAAAACAUUGUCCCUAGUAAGCCUCUAGUUGACUAGCUCGUUGAUCAAAGAUGGCCAAGGUUUCCUGGCCAUAGGCAAGUGUUGUUACUUGAUAACGGGAUCACAUCAUUAGGAGAAUGAUGUGAUGGACUAGACCAAAACUAAUAGACGUAGCAUGUUGAUCGUGUCAUUUUGUUGCUACUGUUUUCUGCGUGUCAAGUAUUUGUUCCUAUGACCAUGAGAUCAUAUAACUCACUAACACCGGAGGAAUGCUUUGUGUGUAUCAAACGUUGCAACGUAACUGGGUGACUAUAAAGAUGCACUGCAGGUAUCUCCCAAGGUGUUCGUUGAGUUAGUAUGGAUCGAGACUGGGAUUUGUCACUCCGUGUGACGGAGAGGUAUCUCGGGGCCCACUCGGUAAUACAACAUCACACACAAGCCUUGCAAGCAAUGUGACUUAGUGUAAGUUGCGGGAUCUUGUAUUACGGAACGAGUAAAGAGACUUGCCGGUAAACGAGAUUGAAAUAGGUAUGCGGAUGCUGACGAUCGAAUCUCGGGCAAGUAACAUACCGAAGGACAAAGGGAAUGACAUACGGGAUUAUAUGAAUCCUUGGCACUGAGGUUCAAACGAUAAGAUCUUCGUAGAAUAUGUAGGAUCCAAUAUGGGCAUCCAGGUCCCGCUAUUGGAUAUUGACCGAGGAGUCACUCGGGUCAUGUCUACAUAGUUCUCGAACCCGCAGGGUCUGCACACUUAAGGUUCGACGUUGUUUUAUGCGUAUUUGAGUUAUAUGGUUGGUUACCGAAUGUUGUUCGGAGUCCCGGAUGAGAUCACGGACGUCACGAGGGUUUCCGGAAUGGUCCAGAAACGAAGAUUGGUAUAUAGGAUGACCUCAUUUGAUUACCGGAAGGUUUUCGGAAUUACCGGGAAUGUACCGGGAAUGACGAAUGGGUUCCGGGAGUUCACCGGGGGGGCAACCCACCCCGGGGAAGCCCAUAGGCCUUGGGGGUGGCACACCAGCCCUUAGUGGGCUGGUGGGACAGCCCAAGAAGGCCCUAUGCGCCAUAGGAAGAAAAUCAAAGAGAAAAGAAAAAAAAAGGAGGAGGUGGGAAAGGAAAGAAGGACUCCACCCACCAAACCAAGUAGGACUCGGUUUGGGGGGGAGACCUUCCCCCCUUGGCUCGGCCGACCCCCUUGGGGCUCCUUGAGCCCCAAGGCAAGGCUUCCCCUCUCCCACCUAUAUAUACGGAGGUUUUAGGGCUGACUUGAGACGAUUUUUCCACGGCAGCCCGACCACAUACCUCCACGGUUUUUCCUCUAGAUCGCGUUUCUGCGGAGCUCGGGCGGAGCCCUGCUGAGAUAAGAUCACCACCAACCUCCGGAGCGCCGUCACGCUGCCGGAGAACUCUUCUACCUCUCCGUCUCUCUUGCUGGAUCAAGAAGGCCGAGAUCAUCGUCGAGCUGUACGUGUGCUGAACGCGGAGGUGCCGUCCGUUCGGCACUAGAUCGUGGGACUGAUCGCGGGACGGUUCGCGGGGCGGAUCGAGGGACGUGAGGACGUUCCGCUACAUCAACCGCGUUCACUAACGCUUCUGCUAUACGGUCUACAAGGGUACGUAGAUCGGAAAUCCCCUCUCGUAGAUGGACAUCACCAUGAUAGGUCUUCGUGCGCGUAGGAAAAUUUUUGUUUCCCAUGCGACGUUCCCCAACAGUGGUAUCAGAGCUAGGUUCAUGCGUAGAUGUCUUCUCGAGUAGAACACAAAAGUUUUUGUGGGCGGUGAUGUGAGUUUUGCUGCCCUCCUUAGUUUUUUCUUGAUUCUGCGGUAUUGUUGGAUCGAAGCGGCUCGGACCAACAUUACUCGUACACUUACGAGAGACUGGUUUCAUCGCUACGAGUAACUCUGUUGCUCAAAGAUGACUUGUGACAGCCCGGUGCCGACGUUCCAGAAGAUUCCCCUCUCUUUCCGUACUCGUCAUGUGAUCUAUUUUAUUUGUCGCAUCAUCAUCGCAUCAUGCGCAUCAUGAGCAUUGCUUCGGCAUCUCCGUUGCCGCCCGUUUUCAAAACUUGCAUUCGUUAGUAGUUGCCGGUUCUCGUCGUCGUCCGUUCUGAGUCCGACCGCUCACGCACGCGCCCGCGGCACCGUCGAAACCCUGGUUUUAAAGUGUGUUUAAAAAUUUCUCUGAUCGGGUUGAGAUUUGACGUGCGGUCGUGUUCAGUUAUAGCUAGGCCGCCUGUCGAAUUUCGUCGCGAUCGGAGACCGUCUGGUACCCGAACGGUCGCCCGUAGCGGCACCGUCUUCGGUUAUUCGUCGGACGUCUGUCGGUGUUUAUAAAUUCGUGUCGCGCCGCCCGCUCUCCCUCUCGUCCCCGGUAAACCCCUCUACACGGCCGCGUACCCUUACCCGCGUUCGGAAUCGUCCGAAUCCGACCCCGCGGUUGGAUCCAGAACGAAAUUCCGGUUAACCGAGCCCCCAUUUGUCUAUAAAUACCCCCCCAUGCCAUUAAUUAGACAGCCCCUCUUCCCUGCCUCAUUAUCCGCGCCCUAAACCUAACCCUAGCCGCGCCGCUCCACUCUCUCUCCUCUGCCAGCGCCGCCGGGCCCGCGAAGCCCAUCGCAGGCCCGCCCGAGCCCGAGCCGUCGCCGCCGCCCGUACGGUUCCCGUACCCGCGCCGCCCCGGGCUCCCCGAGCGCCGCCUUCCUCGCGCCGCGCCGCCCCUCCCAGCCGGCAGUCGCCGUCCGGCGAGAUCCCGCCGCCCAGGCCGGCCCUUGCCUUGCCGGCCAGCACCGCCGCCGUCGUUCCCGUCCGCUGCCUGCAGCAGCCGCCGCGCCAACCUCCCUGCAGCCAGCGCCGUCGCCCCAGAGAGCCGCCGGCCGGAUCCGGCCAGAUCCGGUCCGGGGAAGCAACUCCGGCCAGCGCCGCCCCUCGGCCUCGCCAGCUCCCGUCGGCCCCGCUGCCCUGGAGGACGCCGCCGCCUGGCCUCGCUCCAGCGGGCGACGGGAGGAGCCGCCGCGCUGUUGACCCCGUGCGUGGGCCUCCUGCCGAGCCGGCCCAGCUGGACCGCUCGCCCCGGCCCACCUCCAAGCGCCUGGCCGAGCGAGCCGAGCCACCGGCCAGGCCCAGUUGGCCGCCUCGGCCUGUCACCGCCCCUCCCAGGCCGGCCCAAGGGAGAUGAGCAGCUCCCACUCCUCGCCUAGGCGACAGGUAACUAAGCCGCGCCCCCUGUUCGGCCCAAAAGCUUAUUAGGCAUUUUGGAAUUGUAAUUAAUUCCAGAGUUAUACGUAAAUUUCAAACGCCCGUAACUUUUGUUCCGUUAGUCGGAUCGAGGUGAUCUUUAUAUCGUUUUGGCGUAGAAUUUUACGUAGAAUGUGUUUUUGAGACUUGCAUAAUUAUUUGACGCCGUUUAUAGUGCCUAAUGCGAGGAUUUGCGUGCUGUCUCCAUAAGUAGGUGCCCGCAUUUAUUUUUUUUCUCGCGUGUUUGUUUUGCUCGUGCGUCGUAGAUAAAAUGUCCAUGCUCUAGGGAGUUAUUUUCCAUGUAGUUUAGAGCGGUCAAGGGUAUUUUUGCGUGUAGGGUUUGCCCGUUAGAUUAUUUCCCGUGUCUAGGUCUAUUUCUCCCGCAUUAUUGUGUGGCUUUAUUUUGCGUUGCAAACCCCGAUUAUUUUAUAUGUUUUCGGGGUAGAAAAAUCCCAUGGAUUUUUCUGUGCAAUUAGUUUUAGGUUUUGAGGAAGUUAGUUCGCGAGAUAUUUUGUCGUGGUGCCCUUUUGUUUAAUUUGUAGGAUUUGUUCCGUGCGUCGUUUGACGGAGUUGUCAACUGGGAAGUUGUGCUUGGAUGUUUUGUUUAGUCCCUGGUAUUUUUGGUUGCAAUAGAAAUGCAUGUUUAGGUGUUGUUUGACGGCCCUCAAGUUGCUUGAAUAGUGCUGAUUUAGAGGAGCUGAAAUAUUUCUAAGUCUGAGAUCUGUUAUAUUUUGUUGCUGUCUUGUCUUGCUUGCAUCUGUGAUCUGUAGCUCUUUUGGGGUUGGUCCAAUGGAGUUAUUUGUACCCCUUAUGUUUCUUUAGCAUGCUGUGAAGUUUCAUGCCAUUUGGAGUCCUGUAGCUAUAGGUUUUGCUGCUGUCAGUAUUGCUUCCGGCUGAAAACUGCACUUUGACGAGGUGUUAUUUUCACUAAGUCUGAAAUAGUGCGUGAGAUGCCAUUUUGUGUCUUCUUUUCCUAGUGCUCCUUGCUGCCAUGCUAGUAGUUGUUAGUUGUUUGUAGUAGUGCGUCUUGCCCUCUUUCAUGCCAUGCCUUGCUUGAGCUCAUCGGAGUUGUGUAGCCGAAGUUGUGAGGCGUAGAAAGUGCUAUGAGGCUGUUCUUGGCAGAUUGUAGCGUUUCCUUGUUUUGCUCGUAGUUUUCGAACCGUAGCUCCGAUUUGAUCGUGUCCUACAUGCAACUUGCUUAGAAUCUCGUGUAGUUUCAUUUUCUCUUGCUGUUUGAAUGUGUUGAAGUGCUCGUAGCCGCCGUUGCACACAUUUUGCAUUCAUGCCAUCAUAUCUUGCGGNACAUUAAUAUUGCCGUGUAGAUAACUAGGAGUGAACUAAAUAAUUAACGUGGGGUUUCGUCAAUAUGCAACUCGUGCAUAUUGAACUUCACUUAAUGUGUAGUUUUGAGUGUGUGGAACUGUCAUGCCGUGACUUGCAUGUAUUCAGUAGCUCAUGCAUCAUUUGUGUUGUGCAUCGUGUGGUGAAUAUCGUGUGUUGAUGCUUGUUUCCGGUUUCCCCGUCUCGAUAGAGUUCCGCACGCGUGCCGGAAUGUGAGGACCCGUUCGACUACGUCGGUUCGCCUGCUUCACGGAGGCAUUCUUCUUCCAAGCGGGAUCUCAGGCAAGAUGAUCAUUUCCCCAGAUACCAUUACUAUCAUUGCCAUGCUAGUUUUACCGCUGCUAUCGUUUACGUCUCGUUGCCUACCACCUGUUAAAUAUCAGCCUCUCUACAAUGCCAUGAAACCAUCAACCUGUUCACCCUAGCAAACCACUGAUUGGCUAUGUUACUGCUUGCUUAACCCUGUUGAUAGCGUUGCUAGUUGCAGGUGCAUUGCUUCCAUGCAAAGCAUGGGUUCCUUGUUAUAUCACCAUAUUUUAUGCUUUCUAUUUUAAUGCACCUAUAUACCUGGUAAAAGGUGGAAGGCUCGGCCUUUCUAGCCUGGUGUUUUGUUCCACCUUUGCCCCCUUAGUUUCGGCUACCGGUGUUAUGUUCCAUAAAUGAGCGCUCCUAACACGAUCGGGGUUGUUAUGGGGACCCCCUUGAUAAUUCGUUUUAGAUUAAAGCUGGUCUGGCAGGGCCCAACUUUGGUACUACUUUUGCCUAAUAACUAAUGAACUGCAUAGCGAGGCUUGUAGCAAAAGGGUUCACGCAGAGACCCUACAUCAAAUUACGAUGUAAUAUACCUUCUUGGUAUGAGUGGAACUAUGUUUUGAUAAUAAAUAUCAUUGGCGGUACAAAUAAUAUUAUCCAUGUAGUUAAUGGAUGAAGUGAUACAUACUCAUAUGGGUUACUCAUUUCGUAAAUUUAUAACGAAGUACCUCAAGGGCUUACAAUUCCGAAUCCAAAAUAAAUCGCAACAUAUUUGUGUAAAAUUUCAGAAGUUACUCUAUGGCUUGAAAUAGUCGGAAAUCAUAUGGUACUACCGACUAAAUGAGUUCCUUCUUCAAAGGAUUACUCAAAGGAUGAUAAAUUGUUUAUGUGUUAAUAAAGGUAUCCCAAAAUUUGAAUUCCUUAUAUCACCUCAGUGUAUAUCGAUGAUUUCAUCAUCAAUGUCUCUACAAGACCUAAACAUACACAAAAUCAUCUCAAGACGGAAAAUUUGGAUUUAACCAAAUUUAGCUUAAGUUUAUAACUUGAGCAUUCUAUGAAGAAUUAGUAUCAGUCUACAUAUAUCCAAAACAUAUACGAGAAGUUCAAUUUGGAUAUAUCAUAUCAACAAAAGACAUGUAUGGUCAUACUACCUUUGAUAAGGUACAAAUCCAUUCAUACCUAGGGGUGAUAAUGAAGUGAUACUAGGACCUGAAGUUCUAUAUCUCACUAAUGUCAAAUCACUCAUAUACUUGCAAACUACGUCAGGCCUGACACUAUAUUUGCUAUCUUUAUUCAGAGUGCAAACCCCAACAAAAGGUAUAUGGUUGAUAUAAGUAAUAUCAUCUUAUAUCUGAAGAUUACAGUAAAUCUUGGAUAUUUUCAUCAGGAAAUAGAAGAUAUGACCAUGAUAUGAUGUAAUGAUAUUGGCUCUUUAUUUGAUCCCAACGAUGCCAUAUCAAUGACUGAAUUUGCUGGAAUAGCCUUCACAUGGAAGUCAUAUAAAUGGAUUUUAAUGGUUAUUUCCACUUAUCAUUCUGACAUAAUUUUUUUAUCCUAAAGCAUUGCAAAAAUAUGUAUGGCUUGGCAGAAUGAUUAACCACACUCAAAAUUAUGUGGUUGAGAUUCAUCAGAAUCACAUAACUUGAUUUAUCAAGAUACUUUCACUUGUGUUACUCAAUACCUAUAGGUUAUAUGAAGAGCAAUAUCAUAAAUCAUAUUGCUCGGAAAUUACUUAGCCUCACGGAUUAUAGAAAAGUGAGGAAAUAAUUUGCAAACAAACUACUGUUAUAAUCCAACAUAUUAUACACAAUCUCAUGUUCAUGUCAAUGGAAUUGGUAUGAGACAUCCUUCAUAUUUGUAAAGUUCAGGGGGAGUAAUCUCCCAAACUAUAACCGAUUAACAAUCAUCAGAUUGCAUAUAUUGUACUCGUUUUCCCUUGAUGAGUUUUCCUUAUUGGUUUCUCAUAAAAGGUUUUUAACGAGACAAUAUAAACACAAGUGUCUUUAUAUGCCAUAUCAUUUUCUCCUUGUAUUUUUCCCACUGGGUUUUAAAGGAGUUUUCAAUGGCAUGUACGAUUGCACUCUUUUCCCUUAUGAGUUUUUCUCUCAAGUUUCUCAUAAUGGUUUUUAGUGAGGCAAUAUCUUCUCAAAGAUCAUAUGUCAUACUUUCUAUUUUCCCUAUCGGGGUUUUUAAAGGAAGUACUCAAGACAUAUUAAUUAUUCUCUAAACUUCUCAAUGAGUUUUCUCCUUAUUCAAAGGUUUUCUCAUAUGAGUUAUCAAGAGACAAUAAUCACUAUAUGUUGCAUCAUUUUCUCCUUAUCAUUUUCUAAUGGGUUUAAAGGAGUUUUAGCAACAUAUCAUACACACUGCUCCUUGCAUUUUUUCCCACAGGGUUUUUGAAGAAGAGAUGAUUCCAAAGAUGUUCGAUCGCAAAUACAAGGAAGGAUUAGGGGGAGUGUUAGGAUUUAAUUAGUAGAUUAAAUAAAAGGGAUAAUCCUCCCAUGUAAUAAUCUAUGUCGGUUAGUAGAAUGGCAACCGACAUACCACGCAUCCCUUCACGAACGGACGCAUCUCUUCAUCGCGUCCUUUCUUCUUGUAUAAAUAUGUUGAACAUCAAUGGAAUAAGAUAAGAGUUGAUUCAUUUUGUUCGAUUCUCUCGUUUCUUGACAAUCGAUUCUUCACAAAGAGAAAGGUCACAUGUGGCGGUGUGGACAAACGAAGAAACAAAAGCCACGCCGGAGUCUCGUAUUGCAAACGUCGGAGACCGGAACCACCGUCCCAUCUGCCGUCUCUUCCCUUGCCGAAGAUGGCCGCUCCCGCCGCCGCCGCCGUGGUGGUGCUGUUCGACUUCGACAAGACCAUCAUCCAGUGGGACAGCGACGACUGGGUCAUCACCAAGCUCGGGGCCGCCGACGCCUUCAAACGCCUGCGCCCCACCAUGCGCUGGAACUCCCUCAUGGUACGAACACGACACCGCCCACACACCCGCCUAGACAUGCCGCUUCUCCCGGCUGAGGCCUUGAUGUCGACCUCCAGGACAGGAUGAUGGGGGAGCUCCACGCGCAGGGGAGGUCGGCCGACGACAUCCGCGAGUGCCUCAGGAGCGCGCCGCUCGACGCGCACGUCCUCUCCGCCAUCCGGACGGCGUCGGCAUUAGGGUAUGGACAUGGACGGAUGCCGAUUUGCCGAUGUGUUCUUGAUCUCUCACGCGGCCGGUGGUUGGAUCUUGAUGGUGGUAGGUGUACGUUGCAGGUGUGAUUUGAAGGUGGUGAGCGACGCCAACUCCUUCUUCAUCGCGACCGUCCUGGAGCAUCACGGUGUCCUCGGCUGCUUCUCUGAGAUCAACACCAACCCCGCGCGCGUGGACGCCCAAGGGAGGCUCAGGAUCUCGCCGUUCCAUGAUCCCACCAGCUCGCCCCAUGGCUGCAGCAUGUGCCCUGACAACAUGUGCAAGGUAUGGACAGUAGGAUGGCAGAUCAGUUCACGUGUUAAUUCACAGAUUCACUCGAUGCACGUGGGUAAUGGAGACAAAAGAAACAAUUUAUGUCACUCACUAUACAUAAUGAUGUCUUCUGCAUUUAGAAUCUUAUUACUGUAUUAGGCAUGAUGUGUUGUCAAACUAUUGAUGAAAUAGUAUUGUUUGUGCUGAAUCCUCGGUGCAUUACUCAUGAAAAGUGGUGUGCACAAUGAAAACCCCAUGAACUAAAAUUUUACUUGCCAUGUGCAGGGCAAGAUAAUCCAGAGGAUUCAAGAGGCAGACAGUGCCAAGAACAAGCACUUCAUCUACAUCGGUGACGGGAAGGGGGAUUACUGCCCCUCCCUUAAGCUAAGGGAAGGGGACUAUGUCAUGCCAAAGGAGAAUUACCCCCUCUGGAAUCUCAUCAGCAGCGAUCCCCAGCUUAUCAAAGCUGAGGUUCAUCCAUGGUGUAGUGACGAGGAUUUCGGAAGGAUCCUUCUUAAGUUGGUGAACAAGCUAAUCACCUUGCAUGCACAGGCGUCCCAAUUGGACUACAAAUGCGAGAUGAGCAAUCCAGUAUCAACGGAACUAGGUCACCAUCAGACUCUCCCUGUCCCAAAUUGAUUUGUAACCAUAUCUUAGCUCACGGUACAGGCAAUAUUGCGUGACUAUUUCCACAUGCCUCGGCUAAGGAACUGUCCUCGGUCAGAAUUCAUCCUAAUUCGUGAUGUAAUAACAAUUGCAUUGCACCGAUUAUGUAUGUCGGUGGAUUUUCUGCACAUUGUGUCUCUUAUGUAACUCUUCAGGCAAGUUCAGGGACCCAACAGCAUGUUUCAGUCAGCUCGGUAUAAAUGAGAUAAAACAGUCAACAGUGUAACAAGUGGUAGUGAUCUGCUAAUGCAGGUGUGGCAUUUUCAGCGAUCUUAUUUAUAAACAGGACUUACCUUGGCACUUUGUAUCAGCCUACAGAACUAGCCAUAUCUACUUCAAACCAGCUCCUGGUCUCAUCAUAGUUUAUGUAUGGGCACCGUCCAUGGUGGCAUUUCAGAUUGCGGCACGUCGCAAAAAAUUAUUAAUAUUUUGGACAUCCAUCUUGCGAUAGGAAUACCUGAACCUGGCCAUUGACUUCAAUCCAGCUACACCCUGGUUCCUUUUUUACUCCAUGAUCCAGUAGCAUAUUCCUAAGUCUAGUAACAUCACUCCACCUUCCUAAAUCUGCAUAAAUAUUUGAUAACAAUAUAGAAGAAGAAACAUCCUCAGGCUCUAACUCAAACAAUCUUUCUGCAGCUCUCUCAGCAAUCUCGACAUUUCCAUGUAUCCUGCAACCUCCCAAAAUCGUCCUCCAUAUGGAUGAAUCCGGGAUUAAUGGCAUCUGACUGAUAAGAGAUUCAGCCUCAGCUAGCCUUCCAGCCUUGGACAGAAUAUCAAUCAUGCAAGCAUAGUGCUCCAUCGUAGGAGUAAUUCCAUAGACACUACUCAACAAUUGAAAGUACUUCCUUCCCUCGUCAAGUAAUCCUGCAUGGCUACACGCUGAGAGGACACCGACAAAUGUGAUAUCAUCAGGCCUUUUCCCAUCAUCUACCAUCCGUCUGAAAGUGUCCAGUGCCUUGUACCCAUGACCGUGUUGAGAGUAACCACAGAUGAGUGUAUUCCAUGCAACUUGAUCACAUUUUUCUGACUCAUAGAAUAGCAUCUCAGCAUCCGUUAUGUUACCGCACUUCACAUACAUGUCAAUUACAGCACCAGAAACAACAGAGCUGUUCCUCCAGCCAGACUUGAUGGCCCAUGAAUGAAGCUGGAGCCCACUGCCUAAGGAUGCCAUAUCAGAGGAAACAGUCAAUGAAACUGCUAGUGUGGCAUCAUUAGGCCUUUUGUUUUCUUGCAACAUUGAACGGAAACAUUCCAUCACCUUCUCAGCAUCAUCCGUUUUAGCAUAUCCCGACAUAAUCACUGUCCACGAGAAAGCAUCUCUUUCUUCAAGACGAUCAAAUACCAGGCACGCACUUGUAAAGGAGCCAGAUUGUGCAUACAUGUCAAGUAGCAUUCUUGAAACAUCAUUAUCGCUUUGCAACCCACUUUUCAGAAUACAUGCAUGAACCUGAAUGCCAUACAUGAGGUUCAUCAAGCUAGUGCAGCAUCUCAAAACACCUACGUAAGUAUAUUUGUUGGCUGGAAAGUCCUCGCACUUCAUCUGCUUGAAAAUUGUCAAACCCUGCUCACAGCUGCUUCCACUAUAAAAUCCAGAGAGAAAUGUGUUCCACGAAAAUGUGUCAGGCUCAUGCAUAAGAUGGAAAGCGACUGUUGCGUCUUGAACAGCACCAACUUUCACAUACAUAUUUAGAAUGGCAUCAGCCACUAACUUUGGCAUAGCCAGUCCACUUUUCACAACAUAAGCAUGAACGCAGCGACAAAGGUUUGCAUCACCAGUCUUUGAUGCAACACCAGCAAUACCCACAAAUGUAUAUUGGUUUGGUUUGACUCCCGUGUCUGACAUCUUUACCAAAAGAUCAAAUGCUUCCCCAGCCAUACCAUGUCGACCGAAAGAAGAGAUCAUGGCACUGCAAUGCACCACAUCAGGUUCAUCUAUCCUGACAAAGACUUGGUAGGCCUCUUGAGCAGACAGACAUCUCGAGUACAUCUCAACAAGGCAAUUGUUGAGGACGUCAUCGGUUUCCAGCCCUCUCUUGACCACCAAAGCAUGAAGAGCCUGGCCAGAUUUCGCAAGACCGAGUUCCACACAACACUUGAGAAGAGCAGGCAAAGUAUACUUGCUUAUCUCAUCACCAAAUUCCGACAACUUAUGGAAAACAUGCAUGACCUUUCUGUAGUCACCCUGCCGAGCAUACUCAGUGAGCAGAGCAUUCCAUGACACAUCACUUCGUUCGGGCAAGCCGAGCAACACUGUCUCAGCAGCGUCCACCUCCCCACGGCUCGUGUAAGCUUGAACAAGGGACGAGCCAACGUAGGGAUCAUCCAGACCUUUCAACUUAACCACCUGAGCAUGCACCUGACGCGUGAACUCGGAGCGUGAGCUCAUCACCGAGCAGGCCUUGAGCACCGAAGAGAGCGCGAACACGUUAGGCGCAAGGCCCUGUUGGUUCAUCUGACAAAACAGGUACAGAGCCUCCUCGGCAUCUCCCGCGGCGGUGUGGGCGGAUAAGAGGGCGGUCCAGGCGACGACGUCCCUGUGUGGCAUUCCGUCGAACACCCUUCGUGCGUCCUCCAGGCGGCCGCACUUGCAGUACAUGUUGAGGAGCGAGUCGAGGAGAAACGUGUCCGGCUGCCGCGCGGAGCGGAGCAGCCGCGCGUGGAGCUCCUGUCCGCAGCGGAGCGCUCGGCGGACGGCGCAGCCCUGCAGCGCCGCUGCGUGCGACCGGAGCUCAUCGGCUUGCGCGUCAGGGAGGAGAGAGUUGGGGUGGGAAGGAGAAGAGUGCGCCGCGAGUCGCGUCCGCCGUGGAGAGGUGGCAGUCGGCGACGAGGGAGGAUCCCGGUGGUAGGAGAAUGGGCCGUGAAAAAGAGCGAGGGAAGACAUGAAUUUGGCCUGCGAGAACGUAAGAGUAGAGUGGGCAAUGACCACGAAGAUGCCACCGCAUGGGAUAUGUGGUUAGCAAAAUUAAAACUCAAAGGGGAAAAAACACGAAGACGCCUGCAGGCAAACUAGCAAAGUAUUGUUUUGUUUUUCAGGGAGCAAAGAAACUGCCCGUGUUGAACCAAAAGCAACAGGAGACCAGAAAUAACACCGAGUAUAUAGAUACAAAAUAAAAUUACAGCACGUAAAUAAAAAAAGCCAGCAUGCCAAGAUAUGUCGUUGGGCGACCAAAAAGUACAUCUCAGACCACCACAAAAAUAAAAGUACUCUUGGAUUUUUGCUGACAAAUAAACGCCAGGCACAAUAUCCAACAUCCACAGUAGGAGUAAUUUCGAACUAAAAGGUAGCCGAGAUUCAUUAAUUCAAGAUGGUACCGUGGGAUAACAGCAAAGGUACUCUUCUAUGAUAGAAGUCUUGGAAGCAAAUCUACAUGUUGAAAGUCUCUAAUUGCACAUAACAAGGAACAUGACGAUAUAGCUCAUGGCAUCACGCGCCAAGUUAGGUUAGCUACCAGUUACUACUAUAUCCGUAAGCCUGCUGGAGUCGGACCGCAGGAACCCGCUUCAACUCAUCGUCAUCGAGCAGGAACCACACCAGAUACUACUACUUCAUGACAUCAUUAAGAGGCGGAAACCAAAACAGCAAACAGUCUUGCAGACUCCAGAAAGGCACUUGUCCCAAAACGUCUCUCCCCAAGUAAGCAUUAGUGAGUGAAUCCAUCGCCUUCUACCCAUAUCAAGCUGUUUCUUCCAUCUCAUCAUCUGACUGUGGGUUCUCCACCUCGCUACCACUGCUCAUGCCGCCAUUGGUAGCAGCAGACGAGAAGUGAUCCUUAACCGAGCUGUCUUCAGCCUUGUACUUCACAAACUUCACAACUGAAGCGUCUUCAUUUCCACAGUCCUUCCUUUUCCUCAUGCCAUUCGCCGUCACCUUCAUCGACUGAGCAGCAGCCAUGAAAGCGUUAUCAGCUGUCUCCAUCUCCACGGCUUCUUCAUCCUCCCCACCUUUUGUGUAUAUACCCUCCUGGUGACUCUGCUUGUCAAUGAAGAAAAGGUCAGCGUCUGAAUGAUUCAUCUUGCUCUGAUAGUGAUAACCAUUCUUGGGAUCAUCAUGCAUUAGCCUCUCCCUAAUCCUUGAACAGUUCUCUCCAAAGACUUUGAGCCCCUUAUCUUCAAGAUCUACAAGCCACU